GACGAACGCUGGCGGCGUGCUUAACACAUGCAAGUCGAACGGUGAAGGGGUCUGCUUUUGUGGGCCCUGGAUGAGUGGCGAACGGGUGAGUAACACGUGAGUAACCUGCCCCCUUCUUCUGGAUAACCGCAUGAAAGUGUGGCUAAUACGGGAUAUUCUGGGUCUGUCGCAUGAUGGGUCUGGGAAAGAUUGCGCCUUUGGGUGUUUUUGGUGGGGGAUGGGCUCGCGGCCUAUCAGCUUGUUGGUGGGGUGAUGGCCUACCAAGGCGGUGACGGGUAGCCGGCCUGAGAGGGUGGACGGUCACACUGGGACUGAGACACGGCCCAGACUCCUACGGGAGGCAGCAGUGGGGAAUAUUGCACAAUGGGCGCAAGCCUGAUGCAGCGACGCCGCGUGAGGGAUGGAGGCCUUCGGGUUGUAAACCUCUUUCGCCAGCGAAGCAGGCCUGCUCCUUGUGGGUGGGUUGACGGUAGCUGGAUAAGAAGCGCCGGCUAACUACGUG
rnacentral:rRNA from 1 species